rnacentral:misc_RNA from 1 species
UCCGUCUUGACGACGGCAGUCUCGCGCGACACUUGUAACGCACGAUGAGGGUUGCGCUCGUUCCCGGACUUAACCGAACAGUUCACACCACGAGCUGACGACAACCAUGCAGCACCUGUACCACGAGCUCCCGUGAGGGCACUCCCGCAUUUCUGCAGGAUUCUUGUGGCUUUCAAGACCUGGAUAAGGUUUUUCGUUUGUCGUCGAAUUGAACCUCAUGUUCCACCGCUUGUGCGGGUCCCCGUCUAUUCCUUUGAGUUUUAGCCUUGCGGCCGUACUUCCCAGGCGGCGCACUUACCGCGUUAGCUACGACACGGAAACGUCAGUGGUCCCCAUGCCUCGUGCGCAUCGUUUACGGCGUGGACUAC